UACGAAGGGGGCUAGCGUUGCUCGGAAUCACUGGGCGUAAAGCGCACGUAGGCGGCUUUUUAAGUCAGAGGUGAAAUCCUGGAGCUCAACUCCAGAACUGCCUUUGAUACUGAGGAUCUUGAGUUCGGGAGAGGUGAGUGGAACUGCGAGUGUAGAGGUGAAAUUCGUAGAUAUUGGGAAGAACACCGGUGGCGAAGGCGGCUCACUGGCUCAUUUCUGACGCUCAGGCGCGACAGCGUGGGGAUCAAACAGG
rnacentral:rRNA from 1 species